UUUUUAUAUACAGCAGGUCAUCGUCUUCAUCCAUCCUUUCUUUUGUCGAUUGAGAUUUCCAUGUAAGAAAAAGUGAUGGGUGCGAGAGUUGGUUCGAUCGAAGUAACAGCAACCCCUGGAAGAUGUUUGGUGGCAGUCCAAGCCGAAAAUGUUGGUGCGAUGGGCGAAAAGGGAAGGAGAUUCAAGACUUCACGCCAUUUAUUGCUCUAAAAAACACAUCUUCCGCCCUUCAUUCUUUCUCAUUCCCACUCGUUUCUCCUCCAUCUCCAAAUUCUGGUCUUCGCCACCCUCUAACUUGCACCGUCUCCAUCACUGGCUUCGCCGCUACCCCCGACAACUUCUCCAUUCAUGCCUUCGCAUCCGUCAACUUAUGCAGGUAGAUUCAAGGGUUUUCAGAUCGAGGAUUUGGUGGGGCUGUUCUUUGCUCCUCUUCUCCUGGUUCGAUCAGAAAUAAACAUGAAGGAAUUAGGAAAUAGUUGGAUUGAAGGGUAAGGAUGAAGCAACAACAAGUAAUCCUUUUGAUUCAUUUAUUUUUUUGUUUGAUGCUUGAUAGUGAUCAAUAAGGUUUUUUUUGGUGUGUUUGGUUUCAAUGUUCAAUAGGGGGAGAGGGAAGGAUGGGGUGUUGCUUCCGUUCGUUAACAUGUUAUUUUCCCUUUUUGUUUAUGUUUGAAUGUUUGAUAGAAAUCAAAGGGAAGAAUUUGUGUUUGGUUUGAUCGUUUGAAUAAAAACGUAGAAGAAGAAGAAGAAACACAGAAGUGAUUCGAUUUUUUUUCUUUUUGUGUGUGGUUUUAAUAUUUCCUUUGUGUGUGAUUGGGUUUAAGUUUUUUGUGUAUAGCUUUGGUUUUGGUUUAAUUGUUGAAAGCUAGGGAUUUGAUUUUUUAAUUUCUAAUUCAUAGAUGACAUCCUUUAGUGGUUUAAUUUUAUGUAAGACUAAUAUACAUAUUAGAAUGAGCAGUUUUUUCGCUGCA